GACGAACGCUGGCGGCGUGCUUAACACAUGCAAGUCGAACGGAAAGGCCCUGCUUUUGUGGGGUGCUCGAGUGGCGAACGGGUGAGUAACACGUGAGUAACCUGCCCUUGACUUUGGGAUAACUUCAGGAAACUUGGGCUAAUACCGGAUAGGAGCUCCUGCUGCAUGGUGGGGGUUGGAAAGUUUCGGCGGUUGGGGAUGGACUCGCGGCUUAUCAGCUUGUUGGUUGGGUAGUGGAUUACCAAGGCUUGGACGGGUAGCCGGCCUGAGCGGGUGACCGGCCAAAUUGGGACUGAGCUACGGCACAGACUCCUACGGGACGCAGCAGUGGGGAAUAUUGCACUAUGGGCGGAAGCCUGAUGCAGCAACGCCGCGUGCGGGAUGACGGCCUUCGGGUUGUAAACCGCUUUCGCCUGUGACGAAGUGUGAGUGACGGUAAUGGGUAAAGAAGCACCGGCUAACUACGUG
rnacentral:rRNA from 1 species